rnacentral:rRNA from 1 species
GACGAACGCUGGCGGCGUGCUUAACACAUGCAAGUCGAACGGAAAGGCCCUGCUUUUGCGGGGUGCUCGAGUGGCGAACGGGUGAGUAACACGUGAGUAACCUGCCCUUGACUUUGGGAUAACUUCAGGAAACUGGGGCUAAUACCGGAUAGGAGCUCCUGCUGCAUGGUGGGGGUUGGAAAGUUUCGGCGGUUGGGGAUGGACUCGCGGCUUAUCAGCUUGUUGGUGGGGUAGUGGCUUACCAAGGCUUUGACGGGUAGCCGGCCUGAGAGGGUGACCGGCCACAUUGGGACUGAGAUACGGCCCGGACUCCUACGGGAGGCAGCAGUGGGGAAUAUUGCACAAUGGGCGGAAGCCUGAUGCAGCAACGCCGCGUGCGGGAUGACGGCCUUCGGGUUGUAAACCGCUUUCGCCUGUGACGAAGCGUGAGUGACGGUAAUGGGUAAAGAAGCACCGGCUAACUACGUG